CAGAAAAUAAUUUAAAUAUAAAAUAUAAACUUUGGAAGUUUAAAAUGAUCAUNNCAUCUUUUCUGA
rnacentral:tRNA from 1 species